UGCAAGUCGACGAUGAUGGGAGCUUGCUCCCGGAUUAGUGGCGAACGGGUGAGUAACACGUGAGUAACCUGCCCUUAACUCUGGGAUAAGCCUGGGAAACUGGGUCUAAUACCGGAUAUGACUCCUCAUCGCAUGGUGGGGGGUGGAAAGCUUUUUGUGGUUUUGGAUGGACUCGCGGCCUAUCAGCUUGUUGGUGAGGUAAUGGCUUACCAAGGCGACGACGGGUAGCCGGCCUGAGAGGGUGACCGGCCACACUGGGACUGAGACACGGCCCAGACUCCUACGGGAGGCAGCAGUGGGGAAUAUUGCACAAUGGGCGCAAGCCUGAUGCAGCGACGCCGCGUGAGGGAUGACGGCCUUCGGGUUGUAAACCUCUUUCAGUAGGGAAGAAGCGAAAGUGACGGUACCUGCAGAAGAAGCGCCGGCUAACUACGUGCCAGCAGCCGCGGUAAUACGUAGGGCGCAAGCGUUAUCCGGAAUUAUUGGGCGUAAAGAGCUCGUAGGCGGUUUGUCGCGUCUGCCGUGAAAGUCCGGGGCUCAACUCCGGAUCUGCGGUGGGUACGGGCAGACUAGAGUGAUGUAGGGGAGACUGGAAUUCCUGGUGUAGCGGUGAAAUGCGCAGAUAUCAGGAGGAACACCGAUGGCGAAGGCAGGUCUCUGGGCAUUAACUGACGCUGAGGAGCGAAAGCAUGGGGAGCGAACAGGAUUAGAUACCCUGGUAGUCCAUGCCGU
rnacentral:rRNA from 1 species